rnacentral:lncRNA from 10 species
AACAGAAGAAGAAAAGAUGCUUCUCUCCUUGGAGAUGCGGCAGAACCAGACUGAACCAAGGCACCCAGCAACACUGGAGGGAAACAAGUCGGAGCCAGCCAACAACUCCAUCUUCGUGCUUCCUACCAGCAAACAGCAUGCAUCCAGGGCCUCCCAGGCUGAUAGGUGACACUCUGCCUAUACCCUACAUGCCCUUUGAGAUGCUCGUGAAA